ensembl:lncRNA
AAACCAGCUGCCCUUUCCCUGGAACAAAGCCGUAAAGUUUACGGAUUCGGUUUUGAUCAGAGAUACCGAAAUGUCAGAGUCAAUAGUGCACAACUGUAUUGCAACAGCGUCGUUGGGCUUUUAUUUACGACUCGCUCCUUUCAGACAAGGUUUCCAGUGAAUACCACUUGCAUUUCUGUACAAAAUGAGGCUCCUGUUUGCCUUCAAAGCAGUUUCAAGACAAAUGAUGGACUGUGCCAGUCUUUAAGCUACUGUCAGAUAACUGUAAACACUGAGGGACAUAAGGGACGUGUUUCUAAUAUACUGUAUGCCAAUUUGACUUUCUUCUUCUCCCAAGGACAGACUACCACCUGCUGAAAAAAUCCUAUCUUAUGCACAUGUUUAUGGACACCUGGACUCGGGAGACAAGCCUGAUUGAUGGCUGAGAGCUCUGAGGAAAAAGCUGCCCUACCCACAGACACGCCUCUGGAUCCAUUUAUCACAAUCACUCACAGAAAGAUGGAGGCAUCGGCAAAAAAAAAAAAAGUGAGAUGGUGCUCUACGGACAAAGCUGCGACCGGUCGGCAGGCGUGCAUCACGGAGGGAGACUGGGAGAUAAUUGGACAGUUGGUGGGAGAGAACACUCCACCGGAGAGACAGUUUGGACAGGGAACACGGAUGGACAGAUGGAUGGAGAGGAAAAAUAGCAGAAGAAGAGUAUCAGAAGUGCAGGAAGACUGCCCCGUCACUCCUAGGAGUCUCUGUUAUUUCAGAACUGCUGUAACACUCGUGGAUCUGAGACCAGGGUUUUAUUUAGCACAAGAUCAGUGA